rnacentral:rRNA from 1 species
CCCUUAGAUGUUCUGGGCCGCACGCGCGCUACACUGAUGCAUUCAACGAGCCUAUCCUUGACCGACAGGUCCGGGUAAUCUUUGAAUCUGCAUCGUGACGGGGAUAGAUUAUUGCAAUUAUUAAUCUUCAACGAGGAAUGCCUAGUAGGCGCAAGUCAUCAGCUUGCGUCGAUUACGUCCCUGCCCUUUGUACACACCGCCCGUCGCUCCUACCGAUUGGGUGUGCUGGUGAAAUGUUCGGAUCAGCCGUUUGUCGCGGUUUCCGCGGCUCGUGGCUGAGAAGUUCAUUAAACCCUCCCACCUAGAGGAAGGAGAAGUCGUAACA